ensembl:lncRNA
CAGCCCCACAUCAGACCACCCUUCUCUCCUCCAUGUCCAUCUGCCUUCAGCAGCCCCACAUCAGACCACCUUUCUCUCCUCCAGGUCCAUCUGCCUUCAGCAGCCCCACAUGAGACCACCCUUCUCUCCUCCAGGUCCAUCUCCCUUCAUCAGCCCCACAUCAGACCACCCUUCUCUCCUCCAGGUCCAUCUCCCUUCAGCAGCCCCACAUCAGACCACCCUUCUCUCCUCCAGGUCCAUCUCCCUUCAGCAGCCCCACAUCAGACCACCCUUCUCUCCUCCAGGUCCAUCUCCCUUCAGCAGCCCCACAUCAGACCACCCUUCUCUCCUCCAGGUCCAUCUCCC